rnacentral:rRNA from 1 species
UACGUAGGGCGCGAGCGUUGUCCGGAAUUAUUGGGCGUAAAGAGCUCGUAGGCGGCCUGUUGCGUCCGCUGUGAAAGCCCGGGGCUUAACCCCGGGUCGGCAGUGGAUACGGGCAGGCUAGAGGUAGGUAGGGGAGAAUGGAAUUCCCGGUGUAGCGGUGAAAUGCGCAGAUAUCGGGAGGAACACCAAAGGCGAAGGCAGCAUCCUGGGAAGUUCCUGACGCUCGGGUGCGAAAGCCAGGGGAGCGAACGGG